GUUGUGGCUCAUGGGUAAAGCGUCUGCUUGGCAUGCGGAAGGCCCCAUGUUCAAUCCCUGACAUCUCCU
rnacentral:tRNA from 1 species